rnacentral:lncRNA from 1 species
CGGUUCAUCACCUAAGUUAUGAGCAGGACUAGUAGGUGUAUCAUCUAAAUCUACCGGAGCUUGGGUUUCUUCAUCAUCAUCAUCCUCAUUUCCCUCUAAUAUUGGUGCAUUAGGAUAAAGCAUAUUCAUAAUUUCAUCAUCUAUUCUAUCACCGACUGCUACAUCAUGUAGAAAAUCAACAUCGCUAAAUUUAAAACACGGGUAGUUACUAUCAAGUAUUCCGAAGUUUUCAUUAGUAUUUC